rnacentral:rRNA from 1 species
GACGAACGCUGGCGGCGUGCUUAGCACAUGCAAGUCGAACGGAAAGGCCCUGCUUUUGUGGGGUGCUCGAGUGGCGAACGGGUGAGUAACACGUGAGUAACCUGCCCUUGACUUUGGGAUAACUUCAGGAAACUGGGGCUAAUACCGGAUAGGAGCUCCUGCUGCAUGGUGGGGGUUGGAAAGUUUCGGCGGUUGGGGAUGGACUCGCGGCUUAUCAGCUUGUUGGUGGGGUAGUGGCCUACCAAGGCUUUGACGGGUAGCCGGCCUGAGAGGGUGACCGGCCACAUUGGGACUGAGAUACGGCCCAGACUCCUACGGGAGGCAGCAGUGGGGAAUAUUGCACAAUGGGCGGAAGCCUGAUGCAGCAACGCCGCGUGCGGGAUGACGGCCUUCGGGUUGUAAACCGCUUUCGCCUGUGACGAAGCGUGAGUGACGGUAAUGGGUAAAGAAGCACCGGCUAACUACGUG